UACAGAGGGUGCAAGCGUUGUUCGGAAUUACUGGGCGUAAAGCGCGUGUAGGCGGUCCCGUAAGUCGGAUGUGAAAGCCCUUGGCUUAACCAAGGAACUGCAUUCGAAACUGCGAGACUAGAGUGUCGGAGGGGAUGGCGGAAUUCCCGGUGUAGAGGUGAAAUUCGUAGAUAUCGGGAGGAACACCUGUGGCGAAGGCG
rnacentral:rRNA from 1 species